rnacentral:rRNA from 1 species
GACGAACGCUGGCGGCGUGCUUAACACAUGCAAGUCGAACGGUGAAGCGCCUUCCUUUUUGGUGGGUGAGGAUGAGUGGCGAACGGGUGAGUAACACGUGAGUAACCUGCCCCCUUCUUCUGGAUAACCGCAUGAAAGUGUGGCUAAUACGGGAAAUUCUGGGUCUGUCGCAUGAUGGGUCUGGGAAAGAUAUUGUUUCGGUGGGGGAUGGGCUCGCGGCCUAUCAGCUUGUUGGUGGGGUGAUGGCCUACCAAGGCGGUGACGGGUAGCCGGCCUGAGAGGGUGGACGGUCACACUGGGACUGAGACACGGCCCAGACUCCUACGAGAGGCAGCAGUGGGGAAUAUUGCACAAUGGGCGCAAGCCUGAUGCAGCGACGCCGCGUGAGGGAUGGAGGCCUUCGGGUUGUGAACCUCUUUCGCCAGUGAAGCAGGCCUGCCUCGUUUGUGGGUGGGUUGACGGUAGCUGGAUAAGAAGCGCCGGCUAACUACGUG